CAAUUGAUAUCUUAAAGUAAGAAUUGAUUUUUUAAAUCAAAUAAUAGUAUAAUUUACGAAUACUUCAAUUGA
rnacentral:tRNA from 1 species